UACGUAGGGAGCCAGCGUUGUCCGGAUUUACUGGGCGUAAAGAGCGCGUAGGCGGUUUUGUAAGCGGAGGGUGAAAUACCGGGGCUCAACUCCGGUGCUGCUUUCCGAACUGCAAGACUAGAGUACGGGAGAGGACAGUGGAAUUCCUGGUGUAGCGGUGGAAUGCGUAAAUAUCAGGAGGAACACCCGUGGCGAAGGCUGCUGUCUGGAACGUAACUGACGCUGAGGCGCGAAAGCUAGGGGAGCGAACGGG
rnacentral:rRNA from 1 species